UGUACUCAAGAGAGACAAAAAUAAAGAUUAAAGAUUUUUUGGAUCUUUAAAAGAGAAAUUUUGAAAUAAGAUUUUUUAGGGUGAUACAAUCUUAAGUUAAGAAUUUUAUGCUAAAUGCUAAGUAAGCAGAGAUGCCGUAAAUCAUUGUGCCAUGUGAACGUUGGUCUCGGGUUCAAACUCUAAUCGAUUUUUCCAUUCCUAAAACAAGAUUAUAAUCUUAUAACACUGACGAAGUUGUGGGCUUAGCUGGCUCGUUUUCUAACCAAAUGAAUUCCGAUUUGUAUCAGCAAAUGUAUUGCUCAUUAAAUGUUUAGGCUUA